AUGGCUCUCCAAACCCUAAACCCCGCCACCGUCUCCCGGGCCCCGCUCCCCCUCGCGCGGCGCCACCCGCCGCAGCCCUUCCCGCACCUCCCUCCCCGCCGCCGCGUCGCCGGAGGCGGCGUCCGCCCCCGCGCCGCCGUCGCCGUCGCCGUCUCCGGCGCGGUCAACGAGGCCAGGAGGCGCCCGCCGCCCCAGGGCGGGGAUGGGAAGGAGACGGAUCUCGCCACGCUCGGCAACCUCUGCGUCGACGUCGUGCUCAGCGUGCCCUGCCUCCCGCCCGCGCAGCGCGACGAGCGCCUGGCCUACAUGGAGGGCCUGGCCGCCUCGCCGCCCGACCAGAAAUAUUGGGAGGCUGGUGGGAACUGCAAUUUGGCCUUUGCUGCAGCUAGGCUUGGGCUUCGCUGCUCCACACUGGGACAUGUAGGAGAGGAAGUUUAUGGGAAGUUUCUUCUUGAUGUGCUCGAGGCCGAGGGAAUUAGCGUUGUUGGGAUGCUUGAAAAUGCUGAUGUUACUGCAUGUCGACAAGCCUAUGAGACACUUCUAUGCUGGGUUCUUGUAGAUCCAUUUCAAAGACAUGGAUUCUGCAGCCGUGCAGACUUUAGUAAAGAGCCAGCUUUCAGUUGGAUACGUAAACUUCCAGCAGAAACCAAGAUAGCCAUUCAUCACUCUAAAAUAUUGUUUAGCAAUGGAUAUGCUUUUGAUGAAUUUUCCCCUGAUGUGAUUGCAUCUGCUAUUGAUUGUGCGAUUGAUGCGGGAACAUCAGUAUUCUUUGAUCCUGGGCCUCGUGGAAGAUCUCUCUUAAAUGGGAACCGGGAUGAACAGAGAGCACUGGAGCACGCUCUGAGGCUCAGCGAUGUUCUCCUUUUGACGUCAGAUGAGGCUGAGUCCCUAACCAACAUCGGAAACCCAAUUCAGGCAGGGCAAGAAUUGCUAAGAAGAGGAACCCGAACAAAAUGGGUUGUCAUCAAAAUGGGUUCUAAGGGAUCAAUCAUGAUCACCGAAAGUGCUGUUUCAUGUGCACCUUCUUUUAAGAUCCGCGUUGUGGACACGGUUGGAUGCGGAGAUAGCUUCACUGCUGCUAUAGCUUUCGGGUUCCUCCACGGGUUGCCGGCGAUUAGCACACUAGCACUAGCAAAUGCAGUUGGUGCUGCGACCGCCACCGGAUGUGGAGCAGGUAGGAAUGUCGCUCACCUAGAUAAAGUACUGAAUCUCUUGAGAGAGUCCGAUCUCAACGAGGAAGGAAAAACAUGGACCAAGUUGAUUGAAGGAUUGUCAGCCUGUCCUGAAGUUUCAGUCCUGUCCAAGACGCCAGUCAAUGGUUCCAGUGACCGCUUUGUGAAUGUUGUCCCUGUUAGCGGUGUGGUUUCCGACCUUUUGUCGAUGCUAGAGGUGGCACCGGAGCGAAGCACCGUCCAGGCUUAA
rnacentral:rRNA from 1 species